rnacentral:rRNA from 1 species
AAUUAGUGAGUGGCGCCGGGUGCGUAACGCGUGGGAUAUACCCUUGAGUAAGGAAUAACUGCUGGAAGCGGUAGCUAAUACCUUAUAAUGACUCCGGUCCAAAGAUUUAUCGCUCAGGGAUUAGCCCGCGUCUGAUUAGAUAGUUGGUGAGGUAACGGCUCACCAAGUCGACGAUCAGUAGGGGGUCUGAGAGGAUGAUCCCCCACACUGGAACUGAGACACGGUCCAGACUCCUACGGGAGGCAGCAGUGAGGAAUAUUGCGCAAUGGAGGAAACUCUGACGCAGCCAUGCCGCGUGAGUGAAGAAGGCCCUAGGGUUGUAAAGCUCUUUCAGAUGCGAAGAUAAUGACGGUAACAUCAGAAGAAGCCCCGGCUAAAUCCGUGCCAGCAGCCGCGGUAAUACGAAUGGGGCAAGCGUUGUUCGGAAUCACUGGGCUUAAAGCGUAUGUAGGCGGAAAUGAAAGUCAGAAGUGAAAUCCCGGAGCUCAACUCCGGAACUGCUUUUGAAACUCCAUUUCUAGAAUCCUGGAGAGGUCGGGGGAAUUCCGAGUGUAGAGGUGAAAUUCGCAGAUAUUCGGAGGAACACCAGUGGCGAAGGCGCCCGACUGGACAGGUAUUGACGCUCAGAUACGAAAGCGUGGGGAGCAAACAGGAUUAGAUACCCUGGUAGUCCACGCCGUAAACGAUGUGUGCUAGUUGUUGGGCUCUUCGAGUUCAGUGACGCAGAGAAAUCAUUAAGCACACCGCCCGGGGAGUACGGCCGCAAGGUUAAAACUCAAAGGAAUUGACGGGGACUCGCACAAGCGGUGGAGCAUGUUGUUUAAUUCGAAGCAACGCGAAGAACCUUACCACCCCUUAACUAUCCUCUUGGGACUUUCAGAGAUGAUUGUCUUCGGUUCGGCCGGGGAGUGACUAGGUGCUGCAUGGCUGUCGUCAGCUCGUGUCGUGAGAUGUUGGGUUAAGUCCCGCAACGAGCGCAACCCUUAUCGUCUGUUGCCAUC